rnacentral:rRNA from 1 species
UACGGAGGGGGCUAGCGUUGUUCGGAAUUACUGGGCGUAAAGGGCGCGUAGGCGGCUAUUCAAGUCAGGCGUGAAAGGCCUGGGCUCAACCCGGGAACUGCGUUUGAUACUGGAUGGCUUGAGUACGGGAGAGGAUGGCGGAAUUCCCAGUGUAGAGGUGAAAUUCGUAGAUAUUGGGAAGAACACCAGUGGCGAAGGCGGCCAUCUGGCCCGGUACUGACGCUGAGGCGCGAAAGCGUGGGGAGCAAACAGG